UACGGGAGGCAGCAGUAGGGAAUCUUCCGCAAUGGACGAAAGUCUGACGGAGCAACGCCGCGUGAACGAUGAAGGCUUUCGGGUCGUAAAGUUCUGUUGUUAGGGAGAACAAGUACCGGAGUAACUGCCGGUACCUUGACGGUACCUAACCAGAAAGCCACGGCUAACUACGUGCCAGCAGCCGCGGUAAUACGUAGGUGGCAAGCGUUGUCCGGAAUUAUUGGGCGUAAAGCGCGCGCAGGCGGUCCUUUAAGUCUGAUGUGAAAGCCCACGGCUCAACCGUGGAGGGUCAUUGGAAACUGGGGGACUUGAGUGCAGAAGAGGAGAGUGGAAUUCCACGUGUAGCGGUGAAAUGCGUAGAGAUGUGGAGGAACACCAGUGGCGAAGGCGACUCUCUGGUCUGUAACUGACGCUGAGGCGCGAAAGCGUGGGGAGCGAACAGGGAUUAGAUACC
rnacentral:rRNA from 1 species